rnacentral:rRNA from 1 species
UACGAGGGGGGCGAGCGUUGUUCGGAAUUAUUGGGCGUAAAGGGUGCGUAGGCGGUUCCGCAAGUCCUGUGUGAAAUCUUCGGGCUCAACUCGAAGUCUGCACGGGAAACUGCGGGGCUUGAGUGUGGGAGAGGUGAGUGGAAUUCCCGGUGUAGCGGUGAAGUGCGUAGAUAUCGGAAGGAACACCUGUGGCGAAAGCGGCUCACUGGACCAUUACUGACGCUGAUGCACGAAAGCUAGGGGAGCAAACAGG